GAUAGUAGCAAACCUGCAGGAAAAACAGGGGGCAGGAUGAAUCAGGACAGCAAACAAAACUUAGAACACUAAAAUCUUUUGAUGCAAUUGUACAUGCAACUUAGUGCAUGAAUAUGAACAAUAUUCUAACAUCUGCAUUUUCUUGGAUAUUCAAUUUUGUUGUUCGAUGUAUGCUCCAAAUCUCAUUUGCAUGCCUCAAUACAUAACAACCAUGCAAUAAUUGUGCACACAAAGAACAACUUAAAAAAAAGUAGUCAAUAUCUCAUGCAAAUGACUAGCGUAUAAACAGGACAAUGGGGUCACACUGCAUCUUAUGCAAGAAGUGUGUUACAUAAACAGGAAUAAUCAUACCAAAUGUACUGGAUUGGUGACA
rnacentral:misc_RNA from 1 species